rnacentral:rRNA from 1 species
AGUGAACGCUGGCGGUAGGCCUAACACAUGCAAGUCGAACGGCAGCACAGUAAGAGCUUGCUCUUACGGGUGGCGAGUGGCGGACGGGUGAGGAAUACAUCGGAAUCUACUUUUUCGUGGGGGAUAACGUAGGGAAACUUACGCUAAUACCGCAUACGACCUACGGGUGAAAGCAGUGGAUCUUCGGACCUUGCGCGAUUGAAUGAGCCGAUGUCGGAUUAGCUAGUUGGCGGGGUAAAGGCCCACCAAGGCGAGGAUUCGUAGCUGGUCUGAGAGGAUGAUCAGCCACACUGGAACUGAGACACGGUCCAGAGUCCUACGGGAGGCAGCAGUGGGGAAUAUUGGACAAUGGGCGCAAGCCUGAUCCAGCCAGACCGCGUGGGUGAAGAAGGCCUUCGGGUUGUAAAGCCCUUUUGUUGGGAAAGAAAAGCAGCAGGUUAAUACCCCGCUGUUCUGACGGUACCCAAAGAAUAAGCACCGGCUAACUUCGUG